UAAUGGCUAGAGGGUCUUCUGAAGUCUUUCAGGCUAAUUCUCUCCUCUCCCCAUCCCCACGUAAUCGCCUCUAAUUUAAGGUGGUCUCCUCGGUUGAUAAACUCAGCUAACUUCCUUUUUUUUUUUUCACGCCCGGCUUGAAGUCGGAAAUUAUAUUGACAGCUUCUCUGGUAUGAAGACAGCAAACAGGAAAAUGAUGGAGAGGAGACGGGAGAAAAUAACAGAGAUGCCACAAAACUUGAGUGUAAAACAGCUCCCCCAGCUGGAGAGGUGGCUCAGUGGGCGCUGAGUUUUCGAAUGUGUUGGCCAGACCCAUCGCAUCUCUCCGUACUUGAUAAGAAGGCUUUUAUGUUAGGUACUAGGUUAUGUGACAAUACGAUGUGACGUCUAUAAUAAAAAAGGACAAUUACUGUG